UUUUCUGGUACAUAUCAAAUCCCCAGUAGAGUCGUCAGUAAACGUCUUGUCUGGUUCCAGUUGUGGACAUAUCAAACCUCUCCAUUCGAAGCCGCCAUCGGUAAAUGGCCUCGCUUUCCUUGAUGUCAGUGUACAUCAAGUCGACUGUUCAAGCCGCCAUCGAUAAAUGGCCUCGCUUUCCUUGAUGUCAGUGUACAUCAAGUCGACUGUUCAAGCCGCCAUCGGUAAAUGGCCUCACUUUCCUAGAUGUAAGUGUACAUCAAGUCGACUGUUCAAGCCGCCAUCGGUAAAUGGCCUCGCUUUCCUUGAUGUCAGUGUACAUCAAGUCGACUGUUC
rnacentral:lncRNA from 1 species